rnacentral:rRNA from 1 species
CCGGCGACCGGCGCACGGGUGAGUAACACGUAUGCAACCUGCCCUCUUCAGGGGGACAACCUUCCGAAAGGGAGGCUAAUCCCGCGUAUAUCGGUUUCGGGCAUCCGAGAUCGAGGAAAGAUUCAUCGGAAGAGGAUGGGCAUGCGGCGCAUUAGCUAGACGGCGGGGUAACGGCCCACCGUGGCGACGAUGCGUAGGGGUUCUGAGAGGAAGGUCCCCCACACUGGUGCUGAGACACGGACCAGACUCCUACGGGAGGCAGCAG